GCGGGGAAAGGUAGCUUGCUACCUGACCUAGCGGCGGACGGGUGAGUAAUGCUUAGGAAUCUGCCUAUUAGUGGGGGACAACAUUCCGAAAGGAAUGCUAAUACCGCAUACGCCCUACGGGGGAAAGCAGGGGAUCUUCGGACCUUGCGCUAAUAGAUGAGCCUAAGUCAGAUUAGCUAGUUGGUGGGGUAAAGGCCUACCAAGGCGACGAUCUGUAGCGGGUCUGAGAGGAUGAUCCGCCACACUGGGACUGAGACACGGCCCAGACUCCUACGGGAGGCAGCAGUGGGGAAUAUUGGACAAUGGGCGAAAGCCUGAUCCAGCCAUGCCGCGUGUGUGAAGAAGGCCUUUUGGUUGUAAAGCACUUUAAGCGAGGAGGAGGCUACUUGGAUUAAUACUCUAGGAUAGUGGACGUUACUCGCAGAAUAAGCACCGGCUAACUCUGUGCCAGCAGCCGCGGUAAUACAGAGGGUGCGAGCGUUAAUCGGAUUUACUGGGCGUAAAGCGUGCGUAGGCGGCUUCUUAAGUCGGAUGUGAAAUCCCUGAGCUUAACUUAGGAAUUGCAUUCGAUACUGGGAAGCUAGAGUAUGGGAGAGGAUGGUAGAAUUCCAGGUGUAGCGGUGAAAUGCGUAGAGAUCUGGAGGAAUACCGAUGGCGAAGGCAGCCAUCUGGCCUAAUACUGACGCUGAGGUACGAAAGCAUGGGGAGCAAACAGGAUUA
rnacentral:rRNA from 1 species